UACAGAGGGUGCGAGCGUUAAUCGGAAUUACUGGGCGUAAAGGGCGCGUAGGCGGCCCGCUAAGUCGAACGUGAAAUCCCCGAGCUCAACUCGGGAACUGCGUCCGAUACUGGUGGGCUUGAAUCCGGGAGAGGGAUGCGGAAUUCCAGGUGUAGCGGUGAAAUGCGUAGAUAUCUGGAGGAACACCGGUGGCGAAGGCGGCAUCCUGGACCGGCAUUGACGCUGAGGCGCGAAAGCUAGGGGAGCAAACGGG
rnacentral:rRNA from 1 species